AUUGAACGCUGGCGGCAGGCCUAACACAUGCAAGUCGAACGGUAGCACAGAGAGCUUGCUCUCGGGUGACGAGUGGCGGACGGGUGAGUAAUGUCUGGGAAACUGCCCGAUGGAGGGGGAUAACUACUGGAAACGGUAGCUAAUACCGCAUAACGUCGCAAGACCAAAGUGGGGGACCUUCGGUCCUCACACCAUCGGAUGUGCCCAGAUGGGAUUAGCUAGUAGGUGGGGUAAUGGCUCACCUAGUCGACUACCCCUAGCUGGUCUGAGAGGAUGACCAGCCACACUGGGACUGAGACACGAUCCAGACUCCUGCGGGAGGCAGCAGUUGGGAAUAUUGCACAAUGGGUGCAAGCCUGAUGCAGCCAUGCCGCGUGUAUGAAGAAGGCCUUCGGGUUGUAAAGUACUUUCAGCGGGGAGGAAGGCGGUGAAGUUAAUAACUUCACCGAUUGACGUUACCCGCAGAAGAAGCACCGGCUAACUCCGUGCCAGCCGCCGCAGUAA
rnacentral:rRNA from 1 species